rnacentral:rRNA from 1 species
UUUUUCAUUGGAGAGUUUGAUCCUGGCUCAGGACGAACGCUGGCGGCGUGCUUAACACAUGCAAGUCGAACGGAAAGGCCCUGCUUUUGUGGGGUGCUCGAGUGGCGAACGGGUGAGUAACACGUGAGUAACCUGCCCUUGACUUUGGGAUAACUUCAGGAAACUGGGGCUAAUACCGGAUAGGAGCUCCUGCUGCAUGGUGGGGGUUGGAAAGUUUCGGCGGUUGGGGAUGGACUCGCGGCUUAUCAGCUUGUUGGUGGGGUAGUGGCUUACCAAGGCUUUGACGGGUAGCCGGCCUGAGAGGGUGACCGGCCACAUUGGGACUGAGAUACGGCCCAGACUCCUACGGGAGGCAGCAGUGGGGAAUAUUGCACAAUGGGCGGAAGCCUGAUGCAGCAACGCCGCGUGCGGGAUGACGGCCUUCGGGUUGUAAACCGCUUUCGCCUGUGACGAAGCGUGAGUGACGGUAAUGGGUAAAGAAGCACCGGCUAACUACGUGCCAGCAGCCGCGGUGAUACGUAGGGUGCGAGCGUUGUCCGGAUUUAUUGGGCGUAAAGGGCUCGUAGGUGGUUGAUCGCGUCGGAAGUGUAAUCUUGGGGCUUAACCCUGAGCGUGCUUUCGAUACGGGUUGACUUGAGGAAGGUAGGGGAGAAUGGAAUUCCUGGUGGAGCGGUGGAAUGCGCAGAUAUCAGGAGGAACACCAGUGGCGAAGGCGGUUCUCUGGGCCUUUCCUGACGCUGAGGAGCGAAAGCGUGGGGAGCGAACAGGCUUAGAUACCCUGGUAGUCCACGCUGUAAACGGUGGGUACUAGGUGUGGGGUCCAUUCCACGGGUUCCGUGCCGUAGCUAACGCUUUAAGUACCCCGCCUGGGGAGUACGGCCGCAAGGCUAAAACUCAAAGGAAUUGACGGGGCCCCGCACAAGCGGCGGAGCAUGCGGAUUAAUUCGAUGCAACGCGUAGAACCUUACCUGGGUUUGACAUGGAUCGGGAGUGCUCAGAGAUGGGUGUGCCUCUUUUGGGGUCGGUUCACAGGUGGUGCAUGGCUGUCGUCAGCUCGUGUCGUGAGAUGUUGGGUUAAGUCCCGCAACGAGCGCAACCCUUGUUCACUGUUGCCAGCACGUUAUGGUGGGGACUCAGUGGAGACCGCCGGGGUCAACUCGGAGGAAGGUGGGGAUGACGUCAAGUCAUCAUGCCCCUUAUGUCCAGGGCUUCACGCAUGCUACAAUGGCUGG